rnacentral:rRNA from 1 species
AAUGAACGCUGGCGGCGUGCUUAACACAUGCAAGUCGAACGGUAACAGAGGAGCUUGCUCCUGCUGACGAGUGGCGCACGGGUGAGUAAUGCAUAGGUAACGUGCCCCUUAGUCUGGGAUAGCCACUGGAAACGGUGAUUAAUACCGGAUACUCCUUCUCUAUUAAUUAGAGUCGGGAAAGUUUUUCGCUAAGGGAUCGGCCUAUGUUGUAUCAGGUAGUUGGUAGGGUAAUGGCCUACCAAGCCUAUGACACAUAGCGGGUCUGAGAGGAUGAUCCGCCACACUGGUACUGAGACACGGACCAGACUCCUACGGGAGGCAGCAGUGGGGAAUAUUGCACAAUGGGGGAAACCCUGAUGCAGCAACGCCGCGUGGAGGAUGACACAUUUCGGUGCGUAAACUCCUUUUAUAUAAGAAGAUAAUGACGGUAUUAUAUGAAUAAGCACCGGCUAACUCCG